GAAUACAUUUACAGAGGAAAGCAAAUGUGGUGAACCAUAACAUUUGUCCAUCUGUAUCAUGAAAUCCUAUUUGCACUCUCUUGGCCAUUGUGGCUUAUCACUUCCAGCUGGAGUGCAGUUCAACUUUCUGGGCUUAGAGAUGGAAAGAAAACUAGCAGCCUUCUCUGACAACAUGACAAGCAAAGGGAUUUGAACAGCAUCCUGGAGAAUUCUACCCUAUCAAAUUCUAAACAGAUUCCUCCCUGACGUUUCUGUAUGCACACUUUGGAUACUGGCACUUCAGUCCUGAAGCAAAUUCUUGGCCAAGUAUACAGCUCUAGUGGACGGACUGAGUAUCUGGGUGAUGAAUCAACAAAAACAAGGAACCACCCUAAUCAAGCUGGCGUGAGUGUACAUGCAUACCCACGCAGAAACAGUAGCAUGAAGAUUUCUUCACCUUGCUCGGUACUCAGCUGUGGACAAUACAGUGGGAGGAAAUGCAGCCAGAGCAGCUCUCCUGAACUGACCGAAGAGAUGCCCCACACCAUGUAAUGUCAUGUUCAACAAUAAAACUGGGGGAAGUUUGCAAAGAA